ACGCACGCUGGCGGCAUGCCUAACACAUGCAAGUCGAACGAGACCUUCGGGUCUAGUGGCGCACGGGUGCGUAACGCGUGGGAACCUGCCCUUAGGUUCGGAAUAACUCCCCGAAAGGGGUGCUAAUACCGGAUAAUGUCUUCGGACCAAAGAUUUAUCGCCUUUGGAUGGGCCCGCGUUGGAUUAGCUAGUUGGUAGGGUAAAAGCCUACCAAGGCGACGAUCCAUAGCUGGUCUGAGAGGAUGAUCAGCCACACUGGGACUGAGACACGGCCCAGACUCCUACGGGAGGCAGCAGUGGGGAAUAUUGGACAAUGGGCGAAAGCCUGACCCAGCAAUGCCGCGUGAGUGAUGAAGGCCUUAGGGUUGUAAAGCUCUUUUACCCGGGAUGAUAAUGACAGUACCGGGAGAAUAAGCUCCGGCUAACUCCGU
rnacentral:rRNA from 1 species